GUGUUUGCAUGACUUUUGUGCAUCACCGCUCCUCAGGGUUUAAGUUCUCCUGCGUCACACAGAGACCGACCAGUUUUCACACGCUCACACUGCAAAGUGCUUCAGGAUCAUGAUGCUGACAAUAACUCUGACCAUCUUGUUGGGAUUUCUGAGUCAGGAGUCUGCAGCCAACAAUUUUCUGACUCAGACUGACUCAGUCAAGUCUGUUAGUCUUGGAGGGACUGUGAACAUCGGAGCCACAGGGAGUUCAAAUAUUGGUGCUGACCUCAGUUGGUACCUUCAGAAACCUGGACAGGCUCCCAAGCUUCUUAUUUACUCCUCAUCAACUCUUAAUUCAGGAACUCCCUCUCGAUUCAGUGGCAGUAGAUCUGGUUCUAGCUACACCUUAACCAUCAGAGGUGUUCAGGCUGAAGAUGUUGGAGAUUAUUACUGUCUCGGUGCUCAUGGUGGAGCGUUCACACAGUGAUUUAGAGCCGUACAAAAACCUCCCUCAGUCUGACUGAAGUGAAACUGGUCUGCUGCAGCUGCACAGAGAAUAACUGGUCCAGUGAACACAACACAAGUCUUCAAGCAAAGGAAUGGAAACACAACUGAAACAAACCCCACACACACUUCUCGUUUUGUAUUCUCCUCAUUCACUUCCCGCUCUGAAGCUACUGACCGAACCUGGCACCGUACAUCAGUCCAAACAAAAAGCUCCAGGUUAUUGUCAUAGAUUUUGAAAUAAAUUCUUUAAUGCUUCAUAUGUAGUAUCCUCUACUGACGUGCAGAGAAGAGACACAACUGAAACCAUCUCCUGCACUGUCUGACACUGCAAUGAUCCAGACUGGAGGUUUUUCGUAAUGUGUAAAAUGUUGAAAGCAAAACAAAGACACUAAUUUAUUGUGACACACAGUUUUAUUAAUUGAUGAUUAUGAUAAUUUGAUGAAUAAGUAGUUUUGUUCAAAAUUAGAAUGAAACUAAUAAAAGUCAGUUUAAUUACAAAAAUAUCGAAGAUGAAGCAGAAUAUGCAGAUGAUCAAUACUGAAAAGCAACAUGGACACUAAAACCCAGCAGAAAGCUGCAGAGAGGAGAUGUGCAGCUCAUCAAAGAAUCAGCAUCAUGUCAGACAGGAAGUGCUGUCGUCUCUCUACUCUGAGCAGAGGUCAGGGUCCAGGGUUUGAGUGACAGGGCUCUGUCCAUCCAGACUGGCCUCACA